AGAGUUUGAUCAUGGCUCAGAGCGAACGCUGGCGGCAGGCUUAACACAUGCAAGUCGAGCGGGCGUAGCAAUACGUCAGCGGCAGACGGGUGAGUAACGCGUGGGAACGUACCUUUUGGUUCGGAACAACACAGGGAAACUUGUGCUAAUACCGGAUAAGCCCUUACGGGGAAAGAUUUAUCGCCGAAAGAUCGGCCCGCGUCUGAUUAGCUAGUUGGUGAGGUAAUGGCUCACCAAGGCGACGAUCAGUAGCUGGUCUGAGAGGAUGAUCAGCCACAUUGGGACUGAGACACGGCCCAAACUCCUACGGGAGGCAGCAGUGGGGAAUAUUGGACAAUGGGCGCAAGCCUGAUCCAGCCAUGCCGCGUGAGUGAUGAAGGCCCUAGGGUUGUAAAGCUCUUUUGUGCGGGAAGAUAAUGACGGUACCGCAAGAAUAAGCCCCGGCUAACUUCGUGCCAGCAGCCGCGGUAAUACGAAGGGGGCUAGCGUUGCUCGGAAUCACUGGGCGUAAAGGGUGCGUAGGCGGGUCUUUAAGUCAGGGGUGAAAUCCUGGAGCUCAACUCCAGAACUGCCUUUGAUACUGAGGAUCUUGAGUUCGGGAGAGGUGAGUGGAACUGCGAGUGUAGAGGUGAAAUUCGUAGAUAUUCGCAAGAACACCAGUGGCGAAGGCGGCUCACUGGCCCGAUACUGACGCUGAGGCACGAAAGCGUGGGGGAGCAAACAGGAUUAGAUACCCUGGUAGUCCACGCCGUAAACGAUGAAUGCCAGCCGUUAGUGGGUUUACUCACUAGUGGCGCAGCUAACGCUUUAAGCAUUCCGCCUGGGGAGUACGGUCGCAAGA
rnacentral:rRNA from 1 species